rnacentral:rRNA from 1 species
GUGCAGCAGGCGAGAAUAGUCUACAAUGGACGAAAGUCUGAUAGUGCGACGCCGUGUGUGCGAUUAAUUCCUUCGGGAUGUAAAGCACUUUUCUAUGAGAUAAAAGCUCUUUAGGUUAAUAGCUUAUUGAGACGGAUAUUAUUAUAGGAAUAAGCUCCGGCUAACUCCGUGCCAGCAGCCGCGGUAAUACGGAAGGAGCGAGCGUUGUCCGGAUUUACUAGGCGUAAAGGGCUAGUAGGCGACUAAUUAAGUUAUAUGUUAAAUCCCACGGCUCAACUGUGGUCCUGCAUGUAAUACUGGUUAGAUAGAGUACUGUAGAGGAAGGCAGAAUUCCUGGAGUAGCGGUGGAAUGCGCAGAUAUCAGGAAGAAUACCAAAAAGCGAAGGCAGCCUUCUGGGCAGUUACUGACGCUGAAUAGCGAAGGUGUGGGUAGCGAACAGGAUUAGAUACCCGUGUAGU